rnacentral:rRNA from 1 species
AGCGAACGCUGGCGGCAGGCUUAACACAUGCAAGUCGAGCGCCCCGAAAGGGGAGCGGCCGAAGGGAGCGUAGCACGUGGGAACAUACCUGUUGGUUCGGAACAACGGAGGGAAACUUCAGCUAAUACCGGAUAAGCCCUUACGGGGAAAGAUUUAUCGCCGAAAGAUUGGCCCGCGUCUGAUUCGCUAGUUGGUGAGGUAACGGCUCACCAAGGCGACGAUCAGUAGCUGGUCUGAGAGGAGGAUCAGCGUCACUGGGCCUGAGCAACGGCCCAGACUCCGACGGGAGGCAGCAGGGGGGAAGAAUGGACCAUGGCGGCACCCCUGAUCCACUCACGCCGCGUAAGGGAUGCAGGUCUUAGGGUUGUAAAGCCCUUUUGCCCGCGACGAUAAUGACGGUACCGGGAGAAUAAGCCCCGGCUAACUUCGUG